rnacentral:sRNA from 1 species
GUCAGCACCCCGCACUCUCUGUGACGGGGCUUCAUGCCUCUAACUUUAGUUAGUUCGUACCCGCCUAAGCCUAACAGCUACGUUUUCUGGAUCAUAAUACCCACGAAUGCGACGCUAGUUUGUGGCUCUAUU